GACCAGCUCGUGACUCAUUCCCUCUGGGUUGGUUAAGAGGUAGGGAAUGUCCGGCAACAGUUGUGGGAAAUCUAUCGACAUUUCCAAUAACUGAGGGAACCAAGGUUGUGAUCUCCAUAACGGGGUUACCAGUGCCAGCGUCCCCUUGGAAUAUCGAAGGACCGUUAGGGUUCGAGAAACGAGGUUGAACGGGGGAAACGCGUAGUUCCUGCCCUUGGUCCAGUCCUGCAGGAAUGCGUCUGUUGCCAGAGCAUCUGGAUCCGGUCUCAAACUGAAGAAUCGAGGAAGUUG